AGUGAACGUUGGCGGCGUGGAUUAGGCAUGCAAGUCGAGCGAGAACCGUAGCAAUACGGGGACAGCGGCGAAAGGGACAGUAAUGUGUAGGUACCUACCCCGAGGUCUGGGAUAGCUGCGGGAAACUGCAGGUAAUACCGGAUAAUGUCUUCGGACCAAAGGUGUGAUUCCACCUUGGGAGGGGCCUGCAUCCUAUUAGCUAGUUGGCGGGGUAAUGGCCCACCAAGGCAACGAUGGGUAGCGGGUGUGAGAGCACGACCCGCGUCAUUGGGACUGAGACACUGCCCAGACACCUACGGGUGGCUGCAGUCGGGGAUCUUCGGCAAUGGGCGCAAGUCUGACCGAGCGACGCCGCGUGCGGGAUGAAGGCCUUCGGGUUGUAAACCGCUGUCGUAGAGGAGGAAAUGCAGGGGGGUUCUCCCUUCUGUUUGACCUAUUCUAGGAGGAAGGACGGGCUAAGUUCGUGCCAGCAGCCGCCGCGG
rnacentral:rRNA from 1 species